AAUUUACGGUUUGAAAAUAAUAUUUUGAUUUUAAAAAAUCAUUUUUGUCAUUUAUCAUUUUGGACUGAACUAGAUGCAUCUGCAUCCAGAUGCACCAUCAAGACUCACUUUCAUUUGGGUGAGAAUUUGAGAUGAGAUUUUAAAAAUUCAGCUGGGUGAUCCAUCUAGAUGUAGCAUUAUAAUGCACAAAACGAACAUCAAUUUGCAUCUUCAUCCAGAUGGAUCACCUGGGUGAGCAUCACCUGGGUGAGCAAACGAACAGGGACCUAGUUUAAUGAUAUAGUAGAUGAGGAUUGUGUUACAUAAAAAAAAAAAAAGCAGAGGAUCAAAUGAUGUGGUGGCCUUAGAGGGUUUUAACUCAACUAGAUCCGAUGUCCGCGCUACGCGCGGAAAAUGUUUGAUGUUUAAUGGUUUAUGAUAAAAAAGGGUGAAAAUAUAUAUAUAUAUAUAUAUAUAUUUUGUUGGUCAGUUUAACUAACUUUUCAUGGUGAGUCAAGGAAAAAUAACUAAUUGUACAUGGAAAACUUUUUUGUAUCCAUAACUAAUUAUAUAUUAUUUAAAAAUUAUUUAAAGCUUUUCUUUGAUUUUUGAACAAUAUAUUUAAUGUUAUUAGAAUACUUAGCAAAUUAUAAAGUUUAACAAUAUUUUGGCUCUACACACAACCAAAAUCAGUCGGGUAAGGUACACACAUAAAUAUAUGAACAUAAAUAUAGAUACACACAUUUUUUUAAUUAGAACAACAUACAAAUGCGAACAAUACAUAUUUUAGUUAAUAAAUUAUAUUGUAUGUUUUUCUUAAGUUGGAUUAAUCUUUGUGAAUACUAAUACAAACACGACGCCUAUAUACUACAAAAACUAUGGUUUUAUUUUCUCAACAAUUGUAAACACAACCUUUAUUUAUCAUACCAAAGCCAAUGAUCCCUUCGCUCUAAUUCAUUGGCUUCGUUCCCUCCAUAUAUUGACUUAACGCUCCUUCUUUCUCACUCACUUCAUCACAUUCCUACUACAAAUUUUCAGAGGCAGAAAGCACAAAAGAAACUAUUCAUUUUAUGUUAUUUGGUGGAACUCUAUUUAAAAGACUUUAUAAGCUGUCUUUUUAAAAAAAUAUAAUCGUAAAGGUUUGUGCAAAUAAACAAUACAGAAACAACGAAUAAUAUUUAUACUUUAUAAGGCCCUCUACAUGUUUACAUAAGCCUUUAUAAGCAUUGUUUAUAUUAAGUCUAUGUUAAUUUGCAUGUAAAUAAAUAAAACAUGGACGAAAGUCAAUAUCAUUUAGUAAUGAUCAGUGAUAAACAUAAGUUCAAAAAUAAGCAAAAGGUAAAUAAAAUCAAAAUAGUCCAGAGCCAAGAUAGCUCAAAUGUUGAAAGCCAAAGUAUGAAAAUAAAACACAAAAUAGUCUUUAAAUAAAAUGAAAACCAGUACUUAAUCCGCAACAUAUUCUCCCAACAUGUGAGAGUAUAACUGGAGAUCUAAUUGCCAGACUUAGCACGUUUGGCUUCACCUGAUUCAACCAUUUCAGAACCUCUCUUCACCCUCCCAUCCACAGGUUCCUCAGAGACAGUUUCUACCAAAGCUUUUACAGGUUCAGGAACAUCAAGAGGGAGUACUUUUGUGACAGUCAGAGUGUGUAUCUCGCCUUUAAUAUUGCGAUCUGAUACCUUGACAAUGAACCUGUAUGUCCGUCCGAUGGUAUCAACCAAGGUCUGUGGCACCGGGAUUAAGUGAUCAUCGCCCAUGCUCUCAUUGGCCUAUCAUAAAUUGGAAUAGUUGUUAGAAUAAAUAUACUAAGCUGUAUUGACAUAGAGGUUAGUAAUCACCUCAAAGUAGCUCUCAACCAACUCAGAUGCUUGUUUCCCAGUCAGCUCACGCCCAGCUUCACCAAGGAUAACAAAAACCGCAUGGUCAUUGUUGUCAUAAACAGACAGCUUUGUGAGGUACCUGCCAUGGAAGAAUAUUAAAAGAAUGCACAAAAGUAUGACUGAAAUAUAAACUAUGAUACUUACUGUGGAACACCAUCUACUUCAUGUUUUCCACAUUUCUUGCACAUGAGUGAUGUAGGCCCUUUGAUUGCCUUAGUAUGGCACACACCGCAGCCAAUAUAAUACCAAGGAGAACCGUGGAAAACAGCAUCAACAGUUGCUGUGCACUCAAACCAAGUAACCUGCCACAAUGAAAAUACUUCCAUCACAAUUCAUCAGCAGGUACAUUUUUAAACUGAGUCUUCUUGGUUACUUGAGUGUUUAGACAGAAAUUCGAAAUAAAGAUGAUGACUACUGCAAAGAACAUGUUGAGAUCAAUAUAAAUGGAUGAGACUUUACGCAGAAUGGAUGAGUCUUCUAGACAAAUGAAAUCAUAUACGGACAUGUCAACAAAAAAUAGAACUGGGAAAAGAAGUCUCAAACAUACAUCCCACACCAACCAAAUAACCUUCUCAUAAUGCAUUUGUAAAACGUGGGAAAUAUAUUACCUUUGCUGCUUCCUGCUUGAUAUAGGAGAAUAGCUCCCCUAUCGUCAUUGUUUCAGUCUUUGUGACCACAUUUGCAUCAACCCUAUUAGCCACAUCUAAAUUUGAGUCCAACCUGAAGAAAAUGUGAAACCAAAAUGUAGUUAGACUGAAAUUACACAUUCAAUUUCAACCAGAGGAAUACCUACCAAGUGACAUAAUCACGGGUUGGUUGAACAUCAAAGUCCAAAAACACCCGAGAGGAUGACAUUGAAGCAAGAGCAAGAGCACCUGUUGCAUAACCUUUGUUAGUCAUAAAAUAACUAUAAACCAUUAAAAGACAUUCAGUAUGCUAACCUCCAAAACGUUUUGGGUUGACAGUGGUUACUAAAAUAACCCUUGGAGUGCUUCCAUGUGACUUGAAUUUGGCACAAAAGUCUGCUGCAGCCUGGUCCCAUAGGUAGAGCUUCAUCACUGGUCCACUACAAUUAAAAUAAACCCAAGUGAUUAGAGAAAUAGUAUACUAAUAGAUCUAAGACACUGUGAAUGACUUACUCAUGAGUUUGAACAUGGAGCAAAACCCGCCGGGUCGAAGCUAUUUCCUCUUCGUCAAGCACCACACUGUCAUUCAGUGUCUGCCCAUUCACCAGUUUCAAGUGCCCAACAUAAUCUGCAAUAACAAAUAAUAGAAACUAAUGCUGAUUAGCUUUACUUAGACAAACAUAUUUAUAACCAAAAUCUCAUCAGUAUAACCAAAAUCUCAUCAUAUACUGCAACAGAAUAAAAAAAAAGAACUUGGUACUCCACAUCUAAAACUGACAAUCAAUACUUAUAACCCAAAAUCUCGGAUGCUACCAAAUAAUUCUCUAUCUACUAAAUAAAAAUAAAACAUGAUACUCUACAACUAAAAUAUACAAAUUUACUUAUAUAUACAGAGCCACAGAUGUUACCAAAUAGUACUUUAUCUAUUUAAAUCUGAGGAUAUGCUAAAUACAACUUAAAUAUUUAAGAUCAAAUCAAACAGUUAUCAAAAUCAAUGUGAAGUCGAUGAGUCUUACCGUAAAGAUCACCUUUGAGGUCACAUGCUGCCUCAAACUCUUCGUAACUAUGGAAACGGAACCGAUCAUCAGGGAAAUUAACCCGACUGUCCUCAAGAUCAGAGAGAACAGAGUUCGAAGUGAAACUGAUGACUACCCUAGGCUCAGCAACCCGGUACAUGACUUUGCUGUUUGAUCCGAAACACUUAUUCAGUCUGUAGACAGAUCCUGCUUUCAUGUGUGGCAAGUAGGUAUCAAUCCUUGCUGAUGGGAUGAAACCUUGGAUAACAGUUCUCUGUCAAACAUGUAAAAACAACGAUCAAUUGAGUAAAUAUCAAGACCGUAAGAAUAUAUAAACUUUUUAAAAAAUUUCAGAUCGAACCUGUUCAUCAAUGAGGAGCAUCUCUAGACCAAUAAGUGUUUUUGUAAGCACAUUUCGAGCCUCCCAGAAAUGGAUGAGCCGAAACCUUAACUCCCCUUCUUGUAUGCCAAAUGAGACGUCUCUAAAAAACAACACCUUAUCAACCUUGGCGGAGGAGCGAACCUGAAACAAAGGGAGCACAGAGAGGUUUUGAUUAGACGCUGUAAUGUGAGACAAUUCGCAUAGGUUUAAAGGGAAGACGUCUGCUAAAAGGCGAAUGUGAAAAGAAAGCCAAAAAAAGAAAUCGUAUGCUCUCCCUUCCGCACGGACAUCACCACUGACCAGAGAAAACUCGCAGUGAUAGAGAGAGAGAGAGAGAGAGAGAGAGAGAGAGAGAGAGAGAGAGAGAGAUGGGUUUGAUAUCAAGAACGAAUUAGACGAAGAACAGUAGAAGAAAAACAUCACCUUAUCAACCUUGACGGAGGAGACGGCGGUUGAUCCGCUUGGUUGGAUCGGUACAGCGGAGGAGACAGCGGGCAUAACCUUAUGGACCUUGGCGGAGGAGACGGCCUUUUUACCGGUUGGUUGAUCCAGAACGGUGGAGGAGACAACAUCCUUGCCGUUUGGUUUCUUCACAAUAGGAUCGUCGGAGACUAUGGCUUUCCCGUUCGACUUCAUCGCGAGAACAAAUUGAGAGAGUUUUGAUUGAAAAAAAACAUGAAAGAAGAGAUUUAUAAAUAAAUGGAGAGGAAGCCAUCAAUCAAACCAAAACGGACAAUUGAUUACUCUACAGUUUGGUUGCAGUGGAGAUGGUGAGCCAAAACGUCGUUCAAUCGAUGAAAAUCUAGAGGAAGAAGGAAGAUGAAAAGUAAGAAGGACUCGUGUAAUGAUCUAGGGUUUGAUAUUGGGCCUCAAUGGGUUAUUUUUUAUUGCAAAUAUUAUGUGACAAAUUCAGAGCCCAAAUAAUUCUGAUUACAUGGCCAAAUAAUUUAAUCUCAUUGGCUGAUUUUUUUUCUUACGUGGACACGCUCGCGAGGCUGCGUAUCGAGCUUUUAGUAUUGUUUUGAUAUGCCUUUAUUGGAAAAAAAAUAUUCUUCUUAUCCUCUUUAUAUUCUCACUAACCUUCUCUCGAUGUCAUCCUUAAAUUACUCUCUAAUUGUUUAAUAUAUUUUUUUCACCUCAUCAAUUCAUAAGUUAAAUAAUUUAUUAAUAAAUCAAUUACAAGCUUGAUUCCGCAACAAGUCUCAACCAAUUAAAAUUCAGGUGGGGCUCAGUUUUUUUUCUUUUUUUCUCUACAGAUCGUGUAUCCUCAUUCCUCUAUUGAUGAAUUGAAGCUUUGAAAAUAUGUAAUAUACAUCCAUUUUUUUAUGAAAUUUGUUCAGGAAUAUCAUUAUAAUGAAUUUUACAUAAGAGUGAUAAGAAAAAUGUAAGAUUUGAUGAGUAUUUCGAGAGACUGAAAAUGCUUUUUAAAACUAUACUAGAUUUUGAUAUGCGCUUCGAAAACGCGGGUUUUAUGGGUUAUAUACAAAGUUGGAUAUGAGAUAGUAUUUUGAGUAUAUUGAGUAUUAUUAUGUUAUAAAGUCGUAUUAUAUCGAAUACAUAAAUUUAUUUAAAAUUAUAUAGCUUAUGAAUAGGUUUAUUCGAGAUUUUUAUAUACGCUCUUAUUUAACUAUUUCUGAAGUUAAAAAUUUACCCAAUGUUUCACGAUAUGUUCAAAACCUACCCAGCUUAUACGGUCAUGCGAAAACAUGCCUAAUCUUUUGUAUAAUUCAAAUUACAUACCCAACAUUUUGUUUUUGUUCGAAAACCUUUUAUUGCCGUUAGUCCUUAAGCGGUCAUUAACGUACCGUCUAAUCCUAGUUAAGGUUCAUGACAAGUGUGUAAUGACGUGUAUUAUCUCUUGUAUUAACACAUUAAAGAAAAAAAAAAUUCAGUCUAAACUUUUAACUUCCACGAAGACGGAACAAAAACUCUUGUCCUCUCAAACUCAAACCUCUCACUCUGAGAAUCUCAAUCUAACACUCGGCAAAGACAAAAAAAAAAAUAGUGGCGAGUUCAUAUUCCACCAGACAAGAACAUGAGGUAAAUUUCUUACUCAAUUUUGCCCUAAAUUUUUUCAUAGAUGGUAACAGAGGGUUUUUAAACUUUUGGGCUUUCACACUUUCUAUAUUUCAAGUCGCUGAUUUAACCAUAAUAGUGAUAGAAAUCAUUGCAAUUUUGGGUUUUUACUUUGGAUUUGAAAGGUAGACUUUGUUUCUGUUUAUGGGCACCAACUGUUCGAUGAAAUGCUAAUGUGACUGUUUUAUUAUUUUUCAGUGACUCCUUUGAAGUACGUUUCACCAUAUAUUGGAGGGGAAAGUUUGAAAUAACUGAAGGUGUAACUUCAUACAAGGGAGGAGAUGUUGUUCAACUUGAUUGUCUUCCUCAAAUGUUGUUCACAAAGAUGGCUGACGCACUCGGGAAUUCCUUGUGUGGGCAAAGGGUUUGGUACAAACUCCCUAAAGAUGAUUUCACAGAGCUUAAAUUGAUGUGCAAUGGAAAUGAAAUGUUUGAUAAGAUGCUUGAGGCGACAAUCUUGUGUAAGGCAGUUCAAAUUUUUAUGGAGAAAGAUGACGACGACAUUGAUGGUGGAGAUGGUGAUGGAAGUGGGGAUAAUGGAGCUUCAGGUGACAGAAGGUCUGGUGAAGGUGAUAGAGUGUCUGGUAUAGGCGAUAAUUGUGAUGAGGAAAUUCUUGAGGAAGAUGCGCGAGUGGAGAAAAACAUAGAAGGAUUUGUGGAUGAAGAAGAAAAUCACAAUGAUGAGGUGACUCCUCAGAAUUCUGACUGUGAGGUAUAAAAAAGGUAGUGGAGUUCUUAUCUUAGGCCAAGCAUUUGAUAGUUUGGCUGAGUUCAAGGAAGCUGUGGUUGAUUACUCUUUGAAGGAUGGAUUCAAUGUUAAAUUCACAAGAUGGGGAUCUCAAAAAUCUGAGGUUAGAUGUGCUGUUGUUGCUGUACAUGAAGAUAGCAACAAUAAUGAAGCUGAUGGUGAUGUAGUUGCACCGGUAACUGAAAAGGAUGGAGACGGAAGCACUGAGAAUCAAAGAUGUCCUUUUAGAAUCUACUGCUCCUUUGAAAAGUCUUUAGGGAUGUACUUGAUCAAGACAUUCGAAGAUGAGCAUUCAUGUAUACCAGACGGAUAUUGCACGGUUAUUAGGGGUCGUAUCAUUGCAAAGUUGGCACUGAAUGAGAUAAGAAGAGAUCCUACACUGAAGCCUAAGGCGAUGCAAGCAAAGAUGGAGGAGAAAUAUAAGGUGAUAGUCUCUAAUGAUCAGUGUAGGAAGGCUAAACAACAAGCAUUGAGGAUGGUUCAAGAUGAACAUGACGAGCAAUUUGCAAGGUUAAAGGACUACAAAAUGGAGGUUAUAAAGUGUAACCCGGAUUCUACUGUGGAACUUGGGACAUUAACCAAUGAAAGUGGAAAAGAGACAUUUGAUCGGAUAUAUGUCUGUUUAGCGCCUCUGAAGAGAACUUGGACUGCUCACUGCCGUCCAAUAUUUGGGAUAGAUGGAUGUUUUCUGAAGAGUAAUGAGAAAGGACAGUUCUUAGCAGCUGUAGGGAGAGACUCAAACAAUCAAUUGUUCCCCAUAGCGUGGGCAGUAGUGGAAGUGGAGAAUACUGAUAGUUGGCUAUGGUUCAUUCAGCUGCUGAAGCUUGAUUUGAACUUGUUGGACGGAACAGGGUUCACUUUAAUCUCGGAUAGGCAGAAAGUAAGUGUUUCACUCUAAUCUUCGGUCACUAUAAUAUGUAAAUGUGGUUGCUUGCGGUUAAAACAUUUUAUUUCAAUGGCAGGAGUUGAUCAUUGCCGUGGAGCAGGAACUGCCUAAAGUGGAACACAGAAUGUGUGCUCGGCAUAUCUAUGGCAACCUGAGAAGGGUUUAUCCAGGAAAAGAACUACCUAAAGACUUGUUUUGGGCAGUAGCAAAGAGUUUCAAUGUUGGUGAAUAUGAAAUAGCUCUGAAACAAUUGAAGAAUUUUGAUGUCCGUGUGUAUGAAGCAGUGUUGCUUAAGAACCCGCAUAACUUUAGCCGUGCUUUUUUCAGCUCUACUCCUGUGUGUGAAGAUGUCUCUAACAACUUCUCUGAGUCCUACAACAAUACACUCAACACUGCCCGAGAGAUGCCAUUGGUUGAGAUGUUGGAGACAGUUAGAAGGCAAGCCAUGAUCCGUAUGGAUAUGAGGAAGACAAAGGCUUUUAGGUGGAAAGGAAAAUACAGUGAAAAGGUAGCUAAUACCAUCAAGGCCGAGAAGAAGCAUUUGUUUGAAUGUCGAGUGAUACCUAGUGGUAAUGGUAUUUAUGAAGUUGGAGAGAAUAAUCAUCCUCAUACAGUUGAUAUGGGUGCGAAGACUUGCGUUUGUAGGAGAUGGAGCAUGACUGGUAUUCCUUGCCGACAUGCUUUGAGGGUCAUAUUGAAAAAGAAGCUUGAUCCUUUGGAUUAUGUCUCUCAUUGGUACUUGACAUCCACAUGGAGGAAACAAUACAAUGAUCCAAUAUGUCCAGUGAAUGGAAUCAACUUUUGGAGAUCAUCUGGAGAAGCCACUAUUCAACCACCACCAAGAGAUGUUCCACAACAAACAAAACAGCAGAAGAAGAGAAUUAAAGGGAAAAAUGAGUCUCCUCAGAAGAAAAACAAAGGAAAGGGAGUAGAAGCACCAACGAAAAAGAGGGUUAAGCUGACUAUCGAAGGCAAGACUACACAUUGUAGGAGAUGUGGAGUUGGCGGACAUAACAGUCGAAAAUGUCCUAAUCAUGGAUGCCCGGUUUAUAGACCAAGGAAACAACCUUCUGGACUUAGUCAAGAUGAAGGUCCAAGCCAAGCCUCUCAAAAUUCAAAUCUAGGUUGAACGUAAGUAGCCUUAGCCUUUACUUCAUCUUAUUUUUUAGAUUUCUUGUGAUUGUGCUUCUUUCUUAUUUGCUGUCCUUUUUUGUAUUGUUUUGAAGGAAUGGAAGUUGGUUAUCGAAGGCUGGAUCAUGGGUCUUUUUGGUAUUGUUUUCAAGGAAUGAAAGUUGGUUAUUGAAAGAUGGAUCAUGGGUCUUUUUGGUAUUUUUUUCAAGGAAUGAAAGUUCAUUUUAUGCUAUAUUAGACAACUUUGAAUGACUUACGGCUGUUAUUUAUGAUUUGUAUGACUUUAAUGAUUUGCAUGGUUUGAAUGAUUUGUAUCACUCUCAUGUAAACUCCCAAAUUUUCUUCAUUUAUCUUGCCAAAUUCUCAUCAGGUCUUAAAAAUACAUAAGAACACCAAACUGAAGUUUUACAUGCGCACACACAAACUUAAGUCUUACAAGUACACAAACAUAACGAGCUCAAGUACAACAAUGUUGUAUCAUACGUGGCAUCCACGUAAUCAGCCGUUAACUGUCCGUCAGCCAGAUGGCACAAGUGAACGUUUUCGCACAAAAACAAAAUGUUGGGUAUGUAAUUUGAAUUAUACAAAAGAUUAGGCAUGUUUUCGCACGACCUUAUAAGCUGGGUAGGUUUUGAACAUAUUGAGAAACAUUGGGUAGGUUUUGGCCGUUUUCCCCAUCUAGGUGGACUUGUUAUUAAUAAACUGACUAAAAUAUAAUUUUUACGUUUCGGCAGAAAAAUAGCAUUUUUACGGUUUUGGCCGAAAAUAUUUUUGCGGUUUUUGAGGAAAUAUGUAUUUUUCGCGAAAAAAUGCAUUUUUAUGGUUUUGGCAAAAAAAUAUGUUUUAUGGUUUUGGCGAGAAAAUGUAUUUUUCCGGUUUUGGUGGGAAAAAUGAUUUUUGCAGUUUUGGCCAGAAAAUGAUUUUUGGAGUUUUGGCGGGUAUAUGCGUUUUUUGGGUUUUUUUUAGGGGGGGGGGGGGGGGGGGGGUGUGUUUUUUCGGUUUUGGUCGAAAAGUGUGGUUUUACUGGUUUAGCCGGAAAAUGUCUUUUUAUGAAAAUGUGUGUUUUAUGUUUUUUUGCGGAAAAACGCAUCUUGCGGUUUUGGCGGAAAAGUGUGUUUUUCAGUUUUUGCGAGAAAAAUGCAUUUUUUGGUUAUAGAGGAAAAAUGUAUAUGCAAAAAAAUAGAAUUUACGGUUUGAAAAUAAUAUUUUGAUUUUAAAAAAUCAUUUUUGUCAUUUAUCAUUUUGGACUGAACUAGAUGCAUCUGCAUCCAGAUGCACCAUCAAGACUCACUUUCAUUUGGGUGAGAAUUUGAGAUGAGAUUUUAAAAAUUCAGCUGGGUGAUCCAUCUGGAUGUAGCAUUAUAAUGCACAAAACGAACAUCAAUUUGCAUCUUCAUCCAGAUGGAUCACCUGGGUGAGCAUCACCUGGGUGAGCAAACGAACAGGGACCUAGUUUAAUGAUAUAGUAGAUGAGGAUUGUGUUACAUAAAAAAAAAAAAAGCAGAGGAUCAAAUGAUGUGGUGGCCUUAGAGGAUUUUAACUCAAUAUGCCUUUAUUGGAAAAAAAAUAUUCUUCUUAUCCUCUCUAUAUUCUCACUAACCUUCUCUCGAUGUCAUCCUUAAAUUACUCUCUAAUUGUUUAAUAUAUUUUUUUCACCUCAUCAAUUCAUAAAUUAAAUAAUUUAUUAAUAAAUCAAUUACAAGCUUGAUUCCGCAACAAGUCUCAACCAAUUAAAAUUCAGGUGGGGCUCAGUUUUUUUUCUUUUUUCUCUACAGAUCGUGUAUCCUCAUUCCUCUAUUGAUGAAUUG
rnacentral:lncRNA from 1 species